rnacentral:rRNA from 1 species
AGAGUUUGAUCCUGGCUCAGGACGAACGCUGGCGGCGUGCUUAACACAUGCAAGUCGAACGGGGCAUAGAGAUAUGCCUAGUGGCGGACGGGUGAGUAACACGUGAGCAACCUAUCCUAUACAACGGGAUAACACAGAGAAAUUUGUGCUAAUACGGUAUAAGACCACACUCCGGCAUCGGAGAGGGGUAAAAGCUGAGGCGGUAUAGGAGGGGCUCGCGGCCCAUUAGCUAGUUGGAGAGGUAACGGCUCACCAAGGCGACGAUGGGUAGCCGACCUGAGAGGGUGAUCGGCCACAUUGGAACUGAGAAACGGUCCAAACUCCUACGGGAGGCAGCAGUGGGGAAUAUUGGGCAAUGGAGGCAACUCUGACCCAGCAACGCCGCGUGAAUGAAGAAGGUCUUCGGAUUGUAAAGUUCUUUAGCGAGGGACGAAAAGAAUGACGGUACCUCGAGAAUAAGCCACGACUAACUACGUGCCAGCAGUCGCGGUAAUACGUAGGUGGCGAGCGUUGUCCGGAAUGACUGGGCGUAAAGGGAGCGUAGGCGGCACAACAAGUUAGGAGUGAAAUACCGUGGCUUAACCACGGAACUGCUUUUAAAACUGUUGAGCUAGAGUGAUGGAGAGGAAAGCGGAAUUCCUAGUGUAGCGGUGGAAUGCGUAGAUAUUAGGAGGAACACCAGAGGCGAAGGCGGCUUUCUGGACAUUAACUGACGCUGAGGCUCGAAAGCGUGGGGAGCAAACAGGAUUAGAUACCCUGGUAGUCCACGCC